rnacentral:lncRNA from 1 species
AAGAAGUGUCCUGAACGCUGUUGCCUCUCUCCUUGUGAUGGGCUUGAUGUCACAAUGAGUCAGAAAGACAGGCAUUUGGGGGAAAAAAGUCUAAACGCAAAGUGAAGAGAAGCAUGAAUAAACUUGAUCCACAGGACACUGUACCCCAUGAGGACAACCUGGAAUCCAGCUCUGUCGGUGCAUCUAACUCCGACAUUGUGACUGAACAGAAGGCUUUGUCCUUGGGCACAGCUGCCCACUUGCCGGGCCUGACCUCAGAGAAGGUAAAGGGUGGGAUCCAGAGAGGCUGAAGUGAGGUUGCUGCCAUCCUUCAACCAGGUGAGUCAGCAGACGGACCAGCACAUUCAUGAACUGCAGUGGUGCCUGGGGCUCUGCACCGACUUUUCGAGCAUAAUUGUUGUUGCUUCACAUCUGCCUUCCAAAUCACAUGCAAAUUUCCCUUAUGAUGAAGCACCCUGCGAAGGAGGGAACUCUGGGACACGUAUUUUCAGCUCAUAAAAAGAGAAUCGUGAAAUGAGAAGAACAGGAGUCUCUGCAAAAAUAAGAGAUGAGGAUUUUCCAGACCUGACAAAAGAGCAGAAUCUCUACAAUCAUAGAUAGAGAAAGAGGAGGUUAUAGCAACCAGGAUUAUAUAAGAAAGAGCGGAAAAAAUCAUGGGGAAACCAGACCCUGUGGCUGUGAUAACCGAGCACUAGGGACCCAUCCACCUACACAUUGGACACCACUGAGGCCUGAAAACUCCCAGCGUCUGUGAGCUGGGGGCGGCAGUAGAGUCCAGUGGUGGGCAGAAGGUCGCUGCCCCAUCUGAUGAUUCUUUCCUGCACCCUGCAUUCCAAGAAGGUUCAGCAGAGGAUGGCCCACGGGGGUGGGGGUUUCUUGGUGGAUUUGUGGCAUCCAAAGGUCGUGGCAGAGGAAGGAACAGUAGGCUCUGGAUUCCAGCAACAAGAACAAGACUGUCAAGCAAGUGUGGUAGGAAAAUGGAGUCUUAUACAUUAUAACACAGUCCUGGGAGGGACAAUCCGUCACUUUUGCCAUCUGUUUUGAGUUACAAACAAGUCACAGGUCCCACUCACACUCAAGGGGAAGAGAUUAUACAUGGCGAUGAAACAUCUGAAGGCAGGGCCACCUUAAAGUCUGUCUGCCAC